rnacentral:rRNA from 1 species
CAGUCGCCGCGGUAAUACGAAGGGUGCAAGCGUUAAUCGGAAUUACUGGGCGUAAAGCGUGCGUAGGCGGUUUGUUAAGUCUGUUGUGAAAUCCCCGGGCUCAACCUGAGAAUGGCAAUGGAUACUGGCAAGCUAGAGUGUGUCAGAGGAUGGUGGAAUUCCCGGUGUAGCGGUGAAAUGCGUAGAGAUCGGGAGGAACAUCAGUGGCGAAGACGGCCAUCUGGGACAACACUGACGCUGAGGCACGAAAGCGUGGGGAGCAAACAGGAUUAGAUACCCCUGUAGUCCCUGUCUCUUAUAC